rnacentral:rRNA from 1 species
UACGAAGGGGGCUAGCGUUGCUCGGAAUUACUGGGCGUAAAGCGCACGUAGGCGGUCUUUUAAGUCGGGGGUGAAAUCCUGGAGCUCAACUCCAGAACUGCCUUCGAUACUGAAAGACUUGAGUCCGGGAGAGGUGAGUGGAACUGGCGAAGUGUAGAGGGUGAAAUUCGAUAGAUAUUCGCAAGAACACCAGUGGCGAAGGCGGCUCACUGGCCCGGUACUGACGCUGAGGUGCGAAAAGCGUGGGGAGCAAACAGG